GCCUUCGUGGUGUAGCGGUCAGCACGCUCGACGCGUAACCGAGAGGUCCGUGGUUCGAUUCCCGGCGAAGGCG
rfam:Stegodyphus mimosarum contig126966, whole genome shotgun sequence.